ACGCUCGACACCUACGGUAGGCAGCAGUGGGGAAUAUUGCACAAUGGGGGAAACCCUGAUGCAGCGACGCCGCGUGAAGGAAGAAGUAUCUCGGUAUGUAAACUUCUAUCAGCAGGGAAGAAAAUGACGGUACCUGACUAAGAAGCCCCGGCUAACUACGUGCCGGCAGCCGCGGUAAUCUGAGCGGGCUGGCAAGGC
rnacentral:rRNA from 1 species